CCUAGUAACGGCGAGUGAAGCGGCAACAGCUCAAAUUUGAAAUCUGGCUCCUUGGGGCCCGAGUUGUAAUUUGCAGAGGAUGUUUCGGGUGCGGCACCGUUCUAAGUUCCUUGGAACAGGGCGUCAUAGAGGGUGAGAAUCCCGUACGUGACCGGUCGCCAAUCCCAUGUGAAGCUCCUUCGACGAGUCGAGUUGUUUGGGAAUGCAGCUCAAAAUGGGUGGUAAAUUUCAUCUAAAGCUAAAUACUGGCCAGAGACCGAUAGCGCACAAGUAGAGUGAUCGAAAGAUGAAAAGCACUUUGGAAAGAGAGUUAAAAAGUACGUGAAAUUGUUGAAAGGGAAGCGCUUGCAACCAGACUCGCCCGGGGUGAUCAGCCGUCCUUCUGGGCGGUGCACUUUCUCUCGGGCGGGCCAGCAUCGGUUCGGGCGGUUGGAUAAAGGCUCCAGGAAUGUAGCUCCUCUCGGGGAGUGUUAUAGCCUGGGGUGCAAUGCAGCCAGCCUGGACCGAGGACCGCGCUUUUGCUAGGAUGCUGGCGUAAUGGUUGUCAGCGACCCGUCUUGAAACACGGACCAAGGAGUCGACCAACUGCGCGAGUGUUUGGGUAUAAAACCCGCACGCGUAAUGAAAGUGAACGGAGGUGAGAGCCCUCACGGGUGCAUCAUCGACCGAUCCUGAUGUCUUCGGAUGGAUUUGAGUAUGAGCGUAGCUGGUCGGACCCGAAAGAUGGUGAACUAUACGUGAAUAGGGUGAAGCCAGAGGAAACUCUGGUGGAGGCUCGCAGCGGUUCUGACGUGCAAAUCGAUCGUCAAAUUUGCGUAUAGGGGCGA
rnacentral:rRNA from 1 species